CCUGGUGCUGAAAGCAGAUAAUGGAAACUCAGUAGGAGAGCUUGGUGGCCUGGGGAGGGGGGGCACCCAGCAAUUAUGAACGCUUCCUUCUCCCUGCUUCUUCCUGCUCCUGCUGUCCCCCGACAAGCACUCCCUGCCAUCUGCCUUUUAACACCUCCAAGGCCACCACUGCCACUGCCCCCACCCGCCCAGCCACUCACUUCCCAUCCAGGUCCUUUCAGAGGACGGCCUGCAUGGUUACCAUGGAGAGGGCCACCCCCCCACCUUUGGGGGCUCUGAGACCCUAGAAGGAAAGCACCAGGAAACCCCAAACCAUCUCCCUCCCGAAAACAAUGGCUUCCAGGGUCUGUGCCAGACACAGUCAGAGCACCCGAAAUAGACUCAUUGUCCUCUUGUGCAAUAUCCAGGAAUUUGGUGAAACUCAUCAUUUUUCAGGUUACCGAUAAUGCAAGUUUGGAAACUGAAACAGGAAGGAACACAGGCUGAAAAAGCUUUCAUCCAGCCCACAGCAUUUCUCUCUCCAGAUGCAAGACAGUUUUGUUUUUUUUUUCGGUUGUUGUUGUUUUUUUGUUUUUUUCCCAGCCGUACUUUGGUGGGGUUAAAAUUAGCUGGCAGCAUUCUGGUCACAUGCUAGACAGCAACACAAAAGGGAGUUGUUCCCUGGCAGCCCCUGAAGCAGACCUUCCUAAUCCACCGACUUCUGGGAAGCAGGCUCCUCAGGCCCCGGGACAGGGACGCCACACCACCGGCUCCCCUCUGUCGUCAUCGUCAUCGGGCUGAACCUGGGGAGUGUCUAGGCUGUUCGGAAUCUCAGAGCGUGCCUCCCUUUGGGAAGACGCUCGAGGGCCCCCACAUGGCUUGUUCAAACUUCCCAUUUGGGAGAGGAAGGAAGGCUGAAAAAAGGAAGAACUUUUGAAGCUUUAAACCGUCACCAGAAGCCCUAGAUGAAAAAUAGAGCCUCUGAUGCGUGCACACAGUCAGGAAACAUCCCUUGCGCUCAGUACAGAAACAUGUCGGUCAACCUGGGAAAGGAAUCACCACCACGAAAUAUGCUUUGGGCUUGCCAAAGCCCAGCAGCUGCAAGAGCCAAAAACUCAGCUGCCUGGAUUUUCUGGGGAAGGGACCCGGUCGCCUCUGCUGCAAUACGAUGCCUUCAGAAAGACCCAGAUUUCCUGUGGUCUCAGGGCAGGGAGAGAGAGAACCGGGAAAGGACAGGCGGCCACUCUCCCCAAGAUGGAUGCUUCAUGAUGUAAGCGGCUGGCUAAAGUAUCUGGCAUCCUUGCCGUUUCAAGUUGCCAGCUAAAUAUUAUUAAAAAGAUAAAAUACACGCAAACUGUGCAGAAUGUAGGGCUGCUGUGUUUACAUCCGGGUUGUGAUGACUCAAAGACUUACACUUGGGCUUGCUGAAAAGCUCUAUUAAAAACACAGCUUUGUGAGAGCCCCCAGGGAGCAGGAAGCAGGGCUUGGGGUGUGUGAGACUGUUUG
ensembl:lncRNA